rnacentral:lncRNA from 1 species
CCACAGUGUCUCAGCCUAGGGCGCCCCUCACCACCGACUGCUGUGUACCCAUUCUCGGCAGGUUGUUUCAUCAGGUCUCUCGCCCUAGCCCAUCCCGACUUCCUCCGCAGCCCUUCUGAACAUGAGAGAAACUGCAGGAACGAAAAACCAAGACCCCAAAUUGGAAAACAAACUUGCAGGGAAGGAGGAUGCUCUGGCCUUGAGGUUCGAACUCCCGCCCCGGGGAGGCAAGAGCCAGGCACCCCUUUCUCCUAAUGUUUGGUUUUCGGGGUUCCGCGACCCCUUGCAAUGACUUAAGUGCUCUGUGUAUUGUGUUCCUACAUUAUUUGGGAGAAAAGAGGUUAAUCCAUGUCUUCCAGCUGAUUCUGAAAGAAAUCUCAUACUCCAAAAGAGGGCCUUGUGGGAACAGAGGAGGGGGUCCUUCCUUCUCGAGGGCGGCUCCGCAGGACCCUGGGGGCUGGAGGGUCGCACCUGGUCUUUUUCACGGCCCUCGCGUCUUUUUCUGAAACCUCCAAUUGAAGUGGAAGACGACGCCUGGGGAAUUAAGAAGAUGACUGGGAAAGAAGAUAGCAAGGAUUUUCUAUGGAAUGGGCCCAGCCAGUAUGACCCAAGCGUGGAGACUUGGGUAAGAAAGGGGAGGGGGACAAACCGAGAUAGAGAAAAGAGAAAGUUGUGGCGAGGGUGGGGUAUUUGCAAGCGCAAUGCCAACACCACGCCUUCUCACUUUCCCAGCCUGGCGCACAGAAGGUCCCGGGGGGACCCUAUCUAGCGGGCAGGGCCAGUGCAAAACAGGUCGACAAGGAGUUGCAGCCUACGCGGGGCCGGCCGGCCAGCGUGCCACGGCUGCGGAGAGCUCGAGUGCCCAGCACCGCGCUGCUCCUUCAUUAGCUUCCCCUCCACGCGGCGCUGCAUGCCUAGGAAAAUAAGUUAGCAAGCGGGGAGCCGUUUAUCUCUUUUAUCUUGGGGCCUGAUCCAAUUAAAUAAGUGCACAUUUACAUUUGCAUCCAUCAGGCGGGAGCGCUGAGAGCCCGAGGUUUGCUCGGAGCAAAUAAAAGCAGAUUUCACCGGGAAAGUGGUGUCUGAGCGCGCUGGGCUCGUCCCGGUGCCGGAAACGAGCGCUGCCCGGCGAGCGGCCUUGGGGACCCAGGGCUGGGGCCCGUGGCCUACACGAGGCCAGAGAUCCCCACUGGCCCCGAGAGGCCGCCCAGCGCUGGAGGUGCGGGCAGAGCUGCAGCCAAGCUCCCGAGGCGAUCUGCUGUUAGGCCACAACCUGGGCUCGCCUAGUGCCCGAGGCCCAAGUCGCAGUUCUCGUGAAAACGAAAAGGAGAUCGGCUAUGCCCUGGACACAAAGGAAGACCCGCGGGGUGGGUCUAGGGACAGUCCUGAAGCUUUAGCCAGUUUAAGGGGAAGGCGGGCAGCAAGGUCCCAGUCGGGCCCGAUUUCCCUCCUGUUUGAUGACCGGGCGACGAGGGAAACAAAGAUCCAGCCCGAGGGCGCGCCCCCCUUUCCCCUAAUAACCCUGCACCUGGGGGAGACCAGUGGAUACAACCUAUGAGGGCUUCUGGCGGGGUAGGGCGAAGCCGAGAUGUCCACCCCACAGGCCAAAAGCUCUUAAGACCAAAACGGUCUUUCAGGGCGCGGUUGCACGGUAGCACCCCCAUUUCCCAAACCGCAGAUUAAAACUGCGCGGGGUCCAGAGUUGGAGCGUGGAAGGGCCCGCAGGAGUGGAAGUGCGUACACCUGAUGCGGGACGGGAACUGCCGGGCGCGCACGGCUGCAGCCCCCACCCGCAGGCUGUUUCAGCCGGCAGCGUAUUUCUCAAUUGCCUGCGCCUGGUUUUUUGAAAUGUGCCGAAGCCGUGGCGGGAACCGGUCCCAAGGGCUGCGCAUGGCACCAGGAAUAAGCAGCCCGGAGGGGUUUGCAAAUCAGGAGGCCUUGCUGCAGACCCCGCACCCGGGCUGGGGGAACGGCAUUUCGGGCCUUGGUACCCGGAGUGUAGGAGCUGGGAGGAGAAAGACGUCUCUCCUGACUCCCAAAUCCCAUGAACUGAUUCGGCCCCGCACAGAGCAGGUUUCCGGUUUUGCACUGCCUCAGGGGACUGCUUACAGAGACCCCACGCAGUGAUCCCGUGACCCCUGUUGCUAGACAUCCAGAGGCUUCUGGUCCCUAAGUGCCAAGGUAGGCGUUUCUUGGGGCCCAGAAACGGCCUAGCCAGGGGCAGGUGGCAAACGCCAGCACAGUCUCAGCACCUCGGGACCUUAGGCGCUGCCUCGCGCAACUUCUGCGCCCCAAUCCAUGCCUGAGAAGAAACCCUGAGCCCCGAACACGCCGGAAGUUUCCCCAGCGCGUCUAAGAGGCUUCGCCUGCUGGAGGGCCCGAGACGCAGCAAAGAAGAGGCUCCGGGAGGAACUUGGGAUCGUACGGACACGCAACCACUUCUGGGAUUAAGCGCGGAAGACGUUUCCUAAAUGCCCUGAAUCCCCGUUUGCCUGGUAGGCCACCUCCAAACUCAGAGUCACUAAACACCAGAAAAGCUGGUGGCCACCGAAACCCAGCUCUGUAAAGAAGAAAAACCCAGACGUAAUUGGGUGCUAGUACUGAAGACCAAGUGCGCACAGAAAACCGCAGACCGUGCAGAGGCCCAGGGCGGAAGGGAUGCGGGCAGCGGACAGCGACUCAGGCAGCAGCCGCGGAGUCCCCAGCGGUUUAGCUCCCCAGCCGGAGGCUCUCCGCGCCGUUCCUGGAUGAAGAGAAACGCCUGGCGUUCCCGGGUGCGCGGUUCCCGUUCCCAGGCAGCUCGGCGGGCAUUCGGCUCGCAGCCCCGAGCCUUCGCGGUCUGAUUUGGGAGGCCUGCGCCCUGGCAUUUGCAUAUUCCCGGGAACACUGGGAGGCCUGUAAUUUUCUUUUUAAAAUCGUUGGGCAGGGUUUAGGGCCAAUGCUUCCAAAACCCCGCCGAGUUGAUGUCGUCCUUAAACUCUCCCUUAAGAGAAGGGGACUGGCCUAUUCUUCUGACUUUUUUAGAAAAGGUGACUCCUGGGGCUGCAUAUUCAACAGGGGGGAAAGCUGAUUGUGAACCAGGCUGUGGGGGGAGAGAGG